GGCGCUCGAAGUCUCCUUCCGGACGUAGAUUAUCGUCGGGACGAAUUGGCUUCGGUCGCUCUCCUGAUCGAUAUUCUGGGCGCUCAGGAGUCUGGAAGUCGCCUUCCGGACGCAGAUUAUCCUCAGGUUUGAUUUGCUUCGGUCGCUCAGCAGGUCUGUAUUGAGGCUUUUCUGGCGAUGUGAAUUCUCCUUCAGGGCGCAGAUUAUCCUCUGGGCGAACCUGCUUCGGUCGCUCGGCAGGUCUGAAUGGUGACUUCUCUGGACGCUCGAAGUCUCCUUCCGGACGCAGAUUAUCAUCGGGACGAACCUGCUUCGGACGCUCAGCAGGUCUGAAUGGCGACUUCUCUGGACGCUCGAAGUCUCCUUCCGGACGUAGAUUGUCGUCAUGGCGAAUUGGCUUCGGUCGCUCUCCUGAUCGAUAU